AAUAAGGAAAGAGUGGGGAAAGGGGGGGGGCAGUGGACUUUGCAAUGAAUUAGUAAAUAUGAUGUAGGUUAAAAAUGUUUUAAAAAAUAGUCUAAAAUCAUGUACAGCACUGACAGAUGAUUAAGAUUUAACCUUUUGCUCUGCCCCCCCCCCCCCCCCCCCCUUCUGCUCU